rnacentral:rRNA from 1 species
AUGAACGCUGGCGGCGUGCCUAAUACAUGCAAGUCGAGCGAACGGACGAGAAGCUUGCUUCUCUGAUGUUAGCGGCGGACGGGUGAGUAACACGUGGAUAACCUACCUAUAAGACUGGGAUAACUUCGGGAAACCGGAGCUAAUACCGGAUAAUAUUUUGAACCGCAUGGUUCAAAAGUGAAAGACGGUCUUGCUGUCACUUAUAGAUGGAUCCGCGCUGCAUUAGCUAGUUGGUAAGGUAACGGCUUACCAAGGCAACGAUGCAUAGCCGACCUGAGAGGGGGGUCGCCCACACUAGACCGGAGACACGGCCACGCCCCCUCGGGGAGGCACCAGUAGGGAAUUUCCCGAAAGGGGCGAAAGCCUGACGGAGCACCCCCGCGUGAGGGAUAAAGGUCUUGGGAUCUUAAAACUUUUUUAUGGGGAAAAAACAUAUGUUUAAGAAGCUUGGCACUUCUUGACGGUACCUAAUCAAAAACCCAGGCCUAACCCCGCG